rnacentral:miRNA from 1 species
GGAUGGCACAAAGGAGUGACCUAAGAACACAAGUGCAUUGGAUCACCUUGUACAAGCUAAUCCACUUGUGUUCUCAAAUUUACUCCUUUGGGGUGAGC